rnacentral:rRNA from 1 species
GUAGGUGGCAAGCGUUGUCCGGAAUUAUUGGGCGUAAAGCGCGCGCAGGCGGGGUCCUUUAAGUCUGAUGUGAAAGCCCACGGGCUCAACCGUGGAGGGUCAUUGGAAACUGGGGGACUUGAGUACAGAAGAGGAAAGCGGAAUCCCAAGUGUAGCGGUGAAAUGCGUAGAGAUUUGGAGGAACACCAGUGGCGAAGGCGGCUUUCUGGUCUGUAACUGACGCUGAGGCGCGAAAGCGUGGGGAGCAAACAGGAUUAGAUACCCUGGUAGUCCACGCCGUAAACGAUGAGUGCUAAGUGUUAGGGGGUUUCCGCCCCUUAGUGCUGCAGCUAACGCAUUAAGCACUCCGCCUGGGGAGUACGGCCGCAAAGGCUG